rnacentral:rRNA from 1 species
AGCACCGCGGGAGGAUAAGGCUGCCACCGCGACCCCUCGGGCGACCCCCCGAGAUAUUUUCCUCCCUCGCUCGCCCCUCUCCUCGCAUCCAUCGAUCGCUCCCCACCUUCCGGAGCGCCUCCGUCGCUGUCGCACCAUCGGUUCCACCAUGGCCACCGGCGUCCCCCUGCGUCCCCGGGUUGUCCAAGGGCCACGUCUGCUACGACCUCGUCUUUUGCACCAAGCAGUCGGAGCCAGGGAGUUCUACGUCGACCGGAUCAACUACGUCGUCCAUCUCGGGCUCCGGCGCACGCCACCAUCGAUCUGCACCGCUUCUGCCCGCAUAUGCUUCCCCGAGCUCACGUUGACCUCACUACCCCGAGACCGCUGCCGGUACCCCUGUGAUCGGCUACAUCGACGACGAACCCUUCUCUUGCCAGAGCAACCAGGCAAGCCCCCCCCCACUUGAUCAC